GCUACAAUAACCAAAUAUUUUCCAGAUGAAGAAUAUUAUCUCCAAGUUUUAUAUACCAGACACAAAGCUUCAAUAUGCUAAGAUCAUCAAUAAAAAAAAAUAAUAUAAGCUAAAAACAUUAAUAAAAUAAUCUCAAGUUACAAGUUAUUAGAAGGAUACAAGUUACAGCUUACAUAUGAAAAUAAGGCUUUGAAAAACUUUUGGCCACAAAGUCAAAACUUUUGAGCUCUUAACAACUGCAAUCAAAAUUGUAACCUUAUGAAGCAUAAAUUUGAUGAAAAUUGGUAGAUCAGAGCAAUCCUAAUUCCACAGAUCCAGUUCAUCAACGAAUCAAAGAUGAAGCAAAAGCUACAAAAGUACAGACAAUAAAUGACGAUUCCUAUGCAAACAAACACAAUAAAUGAAAAAUUCAAAAGAUUCUGUCAUAAAUCAAUCUUUGAAAAGUUGCAGCUGUCAGACACAAAACAUAAAAUAUUUAGUUGAUGAGGAGAACUAUGAAGCUAGUACCCCCUACAACACCACUCUAUGAAAAGAAAAAAACUUCCAACAUGAAGAGUAAUGAAAAGAAAAACAGAAAGCUUUUCACCAUAGAUCAAAAGGGUAACAAAACCAGCAUCGACCCAAAUAAAAAAAAACACACAAACAACACAAACCCGUGAAUCUGAUUGACCAACCAGAUAGCAAGAAGGAGUUGAAGAGUCAAAAGGGCAAGCAAAACAUGAAGUGCACAGAAAAUUACCAGAAGAUCCAGAGAAGAGUCCGGGUUUGCCACAAGUCAAUAAGUGAAGAACUAGAAGAUGGUUUGUGUAGAGAGUUUCAGCAUAGAAGGUGGGAAGAAAGAGAGAGAAGAGAGAAAGGGGAAAGGGACAAAGAGUUAAACUUCAUCUUGGUUUUAUUGCCAAAGAGUUGGGGUAGUCCUAGGUGAAUGUGAAGAUGGUGGGUG
rnacentral:lncRNA from 1 species